rfam:Capsicum annuum cultivar Zunla-1 chromosome 7, whole genome shotgun sequence
UAAUUGGUGUUUUUUAACACCAUACUUUGAUACCUGAGAAUGAAA